UACGUAGGGCGCAAGCGUUGUCCGGAAUUAUUGGGCGUAAAGAGCGUGUAGGCGGCCUGAAAGGUCAGCUGUGAAAACUCGAGGCUCAACCUCGAGACGUCGGUUGAAACCAUCUGGCUAGAGUCCGGAAGAGGAGUGUGGAAUUCCCGGUGUAGCGGUGAAAUGCGCAGAUAUCGGGAAGAACACCCGUGGCGAAGGCGGCACUCUGGGACGGUACUGACGCUGAGACGCGAAAGCGUGGGGAGCGAACAG
rnacentral:rRNA from 1 species